rnacentral:rRNA from 1 species
GACGAACGCUGGCGACGUGCUUAACACAUGCAAGUCGAGCGGAAAGGCCCUUCGGGGUACUCGAGCGGCGAACGGGUGAGUAACACGUGAGUAGCCUGCCCCAGACUUUGGGAUAACCCUCGGAAACGGGGGCUAAUACCGGAUACGACACAGCUUCGCAUGGGGUCUGUGUGGAAAGUUUUUCGGUUUGGGAUGGGCUCGCGGCCUAUCAGCUUGUUGGUGGGGUGAUGGCCUACCAAGGCGACGACGGGUAGCCGGCCUGAGAGGGCGACCGGCCACACUGGGACUGAGACACGGCCCAGACUCCUACGGGAGGCAGCAGUGGGGAAUAUUGCACAAUGGGCGGAAGCCUGAUGCAGCGACGCCGCGUGAGGGAUGACGGCCUUCGGGUUGUAAACCUCUUUCAGCAGGGACGAAGCGUAAGUGACGGUACCUGCAGAAGAAGCGCCGGCCAACUACGUG